CCUACGGGUGGCAGCAGUGAGGAAUAUUGGUCAAUGGACGAGAGGCUGAACCAGCCAAGUCGCGUGAGGGAAGACGGCCCUACGGAUUGUAAACCUCUUUUGUCGGGGAGUAAAAGACUCCACGCGUGGCAUUCCGAGUGUACCCGAAGAAAAAGCAUCGGCUAACUCCGUGCCAGCAGCCGCGGUACUACGGAGGAUGCGAGCGUUAUCCGGAUUUAUUGGGUUUAAAGGGAGCGUAGAUGGGUUGUUAAGUCAGUUGUGAAAGUUUGCGGCUCAACCGUAAAAUUGCAAUUGAUACUGGCAGUCGUGAGUACAGUUGAGGUAGGCGGAAUUCGUGGUGUAGCGGUGAAAUGCUUAGAUAUCACGAAGAACCCCGAUUGCGAAGGCAGCUUACUAAACUGUGACUGACAUUGAUGCUCGAAAGUGUGGGUAUCAAACAGGAUUAGAUACCCCAGUAGUC
rnacentral:rRNA from 1 species